UUGAGUUGUUGAAAAUUGCCACCAAGACCUACUAGAAUCAGUCAAAUUAACAAUAAGAACAUAUGAAAAAUAAAAAAAGCUAAAGUUAUACAGUAUAUUGACACUGUAUUUCGAAGAAUUAAGGGUUAUCCCAGUCCCUUAAAUAAAGAAGUCCCGCCCCCUCUGCUAGCUAAUUCCUGCUGUCUUGUUUGACAUUCUCCAAAAACCAGAUUACAGCCUCCUCUAAAGCUAAACACUAACGACUGGUGGAAAAAGUCAAGAGGUAAGAGGGUCUUCUUGCGAUGAGUUGUUUCCAAUAUGUUCAGCAUCCAGCUCGCUGGGAACGGCAAAUGGCGUGUGGAGUGAUGAUUGAGGGGAAAUAUCAAAAACCCUCUCCCCCCCCGAUGCAGAGCUGAGACAUUAACAGCUCAAAGUUGUUGGAACAGCUUGAUCAGCCACGCCAGGCUGACAGAGGGGGCAGCCCUCUGUGUCAGGGAUCCUGAGGUGGCAGAGGCCGACCCUGGUGCAGGGAUGGACUACUCAGGAUCUUGUCUGGACUUCCAAGAAUCGACCAACCCAAGAUCACUAGCAGUCCUCCAGCCCCGGCCCCCGUCCUGAUGAUGUAAUUAUUUCCCAGCGGCACCUGGGAGCCACGGCCGCCAUUCGGAGGCAUCGCUCACAGCCAAUCUCUUAGAGGUUCAGUUUGGGGAGAGGAUGUGGGGAACAGCUGGGCCCCAUCACUUCUCAUUGCAGGCCUGGGAGAGACGUAGCUGACAGAGUGAUGCACAGAGCCUGUCCUUGCUAAUGACUGCGCCAUUCUCCAUCAUUAUCACCAUCAUUAGGAAAUUAGGGGGACAGAAGCAGACCCGUGAAGCUCGAUCAGCGAUGUUGCGCUCUCUCGUCCAAAAGUUUCCAGAAGAGCAGACGAAGAAAGAAGUCGGGAGGCUGGAUCAGCUGGCCUGUGAUCUCCUGUGCGAGCCAAGCUGUCUGAUUGGCUGGAGGGCUGGAGGGCCAUCUUGCCUCCCUGG